CUUAAGAUGGCGGCUACGUGCAAACAGCUGAUCGGUUCUGUGGGCCGCUCUUGGUGUAUUUUUGUCCGUAACGCUGCCUGAUGAGAUGAAAUCUCGGCGUACGAGGUACUUUCGCCCGAGAAGAAUUCUGGAAGCUGUGAACAUCAUGAAGACUGUGAAAGCGUAGUGCUCGGAUACGGAAGAAUCGAUGAAGGUUGGAAGGCAUCUCAACAGAUAGCUGUGGUACAUUCCCCCGUGCGGGCGGUACAGAUACUCCGCCAACAGCCGCUGGAGGAUGCGGCCUGCAGGGCAGCCGCCGAGUAUGCGCGGCAGGGGCAGCUGGCUGAGGCAGCGAACGCGGAGGCCGCCAGUUUCCACCAGCUGCUGCUGCAGCAAAAUAGGCAGCAUCAUCAGCAGCUGGUGGAGGAGCUGAGGGCGGCCCGGGUGGUGCAGCAGCAGCUGGCAGCAGAGAUGCGUGGUUUGAGAGAGGCCACCGGCCUCAUCGCGACAACACUGCGCCAGCUCCUGGCUGCCCUGGCUCGCCUCUGCGAGCAUCCUCAGCCAUGAGGGACAGUCCCCCCCCCCCCUUAUAAUCCUUUAGUACUAAUAGGUACAAGUGUUGCCCAUCUUUCCGUUCAAAUCACCGCUGCAGCAUUUGGUGGUGGUGCCCCUACCUCCUCGAAAGCUGUUGUGGCGAGUUGUAGCCAGUCUUGUGAAAUUAUGUGCAGGUCAUGUGCGACCAUGGCAGCGAAAGCUGAUAGUGCUGUGAUGUCACUUGAAACACAAAUGCGUGUUCUUUAUAUUUUGUAUGUAGCACUAAAAGAUGAUAUGACUGUUUUCCCUACAUUUCUGUACCUAAUCAUUUUUUUUUCAAGGUAAUUUCUUUUCAUGUGUAUUUUCACUUGCAGUGCAAGUUUGCCCAAGUGAGACGUUAUAAAUUAUAUGUAGAAUGUUUGCCAUAUUUCCGUUAGGUGUUGUUCACUUCUGUUUUGCUGUUACUGAUAUGUUUCAAUGCGCACCAUUUUUCCAAGGAAGGUAUACACUAUGCAAUCACUUUUACAGCAACUUCGACAUUGUCUCGCACACAUACAGGUGCACUUAACUACAAUGCUGUGAUAACUGGAAAUGAAUUUUCAUGCCAUAUGUAUGUCAUGUUUGCAACGUCAAACUUUGCAACGCCUACGCAAUGCAAAGUAGCCGAAUUGGAAUUUUUUUUAACACCAAGCGCCUGUUACUUGUGAUAGUUAUUGUGAUAUUUCAGGUGUCCUUACGUAUGAUAGCAGUACAAUCUAGUCCCCAUUGUAGUUGAGCACAGUUUGUGACAUACAUAAUGGAGCCAUCGAUGUGGCCACUAUUUUGACAUUCGCUGCCAGGCUGCUCUUGCAGCCGUUAUAUGAAAUACCGUUGAAGUGCCAAACGUUUUCUCACUUGUCCUUCCUUAAAAGCAUGUGAUGGCUGUUUUAUAUUGUGAUCUUAUUACGGCACUAGUCAUUGAACUAUUUCGUGCUACAAACACGCUGACUACAUAAUAGACAAGACAUCUUUCUUGCUUUUAAGUUGCUGAAUGAAGAUAAAUGGUUGUGUGCGAGUUCAAAAAAACAUCAUAAUGCUCGUGUCAUAUUUAUGCAGUUUAACAUCUGCCAACUGGGUAGUGUACUGGGUCCCAUGUAGUGAACAUCACACGGCUAUUUUGGCGCCAUGAAGUCAUGCUCUGUGUGCUUGUCUGUCAUUUGCUUUGAUGAAAGAUGGCAUUGAAGAUGGGUCACAUGGUUUUAUUUACAAUGCAGAUAUAAAUAAACAAUUUUAAACAAUGCAAGUGGCACUUGAAA